UGACGUCACAGUGACUCGCUUGAUAAUGCGAGUCUUCACCCAUCACCGGACGCUGCCUUCUGAAGAGUUGAUUCCAUAAGCGAGAAUAUAGAGCUUGCAGAAAUCUUCCUUCUUUCAGAGGCCUGAGACAUCUGAACCCAGUUCUCUCUCCGUCGAUGCCAGCUCCUCUUACCCACCCGUCAUCUGCAUCUUCUAGAUUGAAUUAUUGACUUUGUAUAACGUGCUUGGUAUCAGAAAUACAAAAAAAAAAUAAGGUAAGUUUUCAAUAAAUAUUUAUAGAGAGUUCUGUGGUCAAAACUGUGUUUAAAUUUGUAAAUUUUGGUUAAUCUGGGAAAUAGGGAGACAAUAUCUUUUAGAUUCAAUUUUAACUUUUCUAAAACAAAAUAAUUAACAAAGACCCUACAUAUACAAAACCAAAUGCUUGCUGUACUAACUGUUUAAACGUUAAUAUUCUGCUAUAGUGUUGCCCCUUACCUGUAGGGGAUUCAUUCCAAGACCCCCAGGGAAUGCCUGAAACCCAGCCUUAUGUGCCCUGUGUUUUUUUCCGAUGCAUACAUAUCUAUGACAAAGUUUAAUUUAUAAAUCAGGCACCGUAAGAGCUUAACAAUAACUAAUAAUAAGAGAGAGCAAUUAUAGCAAUACACUGUAAUAAAAGUUGUGUGCAUGUGGUCUUUAUUUCUCUCUCAAUAUAUGUGAUUGUUACUACACUCAUCCUUCUUCUUGGGAUGAUGUGAGCUGAUAAAUGCCCACAUGAUGAGACAAAGCGCGAUGAAUGAUGUAGGCACCGUAAUGUAGCAUUGACCAGACAGUACAUCAGGUGGAUUAGCAUCUGCUUCUGGACCACAGUCGACUGCAGGUAACUGAAACCAUGGAAAGCGAAACCAAGAAAACCAAGAAUCAUUUCUGCUAAUGAAAGCCAGAAGUCCAUGAUGGAGGGCUCACAGUGGAUAUUCCCAGUGGCUGAGGGAGAUAAUGGCUAGAGUAAGAGUGCCGGCACCAACCCGUGUGAAAAGAGCACACAGAAUCGCUCUGGUUUUGAGAUACAGGUCCUCACCAAUCAUCUGCUGAAUAAAUCAGUGAAUGCCUAAAUGACCGGAAUGUAAUUACAGGGAGACUGUAAGAAAUAAAAGACUGGUGGUCCUUUGUGAUGUUGUGGAAUGAAACAUACACACUGAGGGCAAAAGAAGGUAACAUACAGAAUUACUCUGCAUCACAAGGCUGCAUAGACCUCUAAACAGAUGGUGCAGCUCAGAGGAGGGAAAAGGCCUUCAGAAAGUGAAGGAUCGUGACAUCUAAUACAGUUCAGUGAAGACGAGUAGCAGGACAUCCCGAGUAAGAGGAACUGUAUGAGUGGUACCAUGGACGCAGAAUAAUUAGGAUGUCAAAGAACGGGAGAGAGCCAGGCUAACUGUAAGAACUUCUCAAAUAGCACGUCUCAAGCGCUAUUUACGCAUGACCUUCGUACACGAACUUGACAUAAGCAGAGCCAGUCUGCUGGCUUCAGUCUAGAUCAAGGGAUCCUUCCAUGGCGUCAGGCCAACAGCAUCACGCUGGUCAUCCGUGCCGUCUGUAACCUCGCAGACAGUCUGUCCUUUGGUCCUUACCAAUGGGUUACUCAGGAGUGUGAGGAAUAAUUUUCAUUGGACCAACAAUGGACAGUGCCCCCAUCACUAAUCAUCACGUGGCCAGGCCAGAGUCAAACCCCAAGAGCCAGGGCAGAUGAGGCGUAAGACCAGCGUCCCUGUUUCCCCCAGAACCACCGGACUGAGGAGCUGUGAUAGUUCUUCAAACAAAAUGGGAAGUGCUUUUCCCACUAACUGACCAUCAAAGACAUUACUUUUCCAAACUCUCAAAUGUCCACUCUAUGCAG